UACGUAGGGGGCAAGCGUUGUCCGGAUUUAUUGGGCGUAAAGAGCGUGUAGGCGGCCAGGUAGGUCCGUUGUGAAAACUCGAGGCUCAACCUCGAGACGCCGAUGGAAACCACCUGGCUAGAGUCCGGAAGAGGAGAGUGGAAUUCCUGGUGUAGCGGUGAAAUGCGCAGAUAUCAGGAAGAACACCCGUGGCUAAGGCGGCUCUCUAGUACGGUACUGACGCUGAGACGCGAAAGCGUGGGGAGCGAACAGG
rnacentral:rRNA from 1 species